GAGAUAGUAGUAUAAAUUUUUAAUAUGUCCUUUUUUCGCGAGGGAGAUUUGUUAUCUUA
rnacentral:tRNA from 1 species